AUCAAAAGAAGAAAAAAACAAAAAAAAAUUUCAAAAAACAUCAUCCACAAAUUGCACAAUGGAGAUACCCACAAAGUUGCGAUUCAGCGGUGUCGAACCCCCUUUCUCAGGGAUGGACACGUUCCACGAGCAGAGGGGACCUGUUGCUAGAAGCUCUAGAUGCAUUCAUGCUCAGGCUCGAAAGAGGAUCUGCUACCCAUGAAGAUGGAGCUGCCUUCCUCCCCUCACUUUUCUGCCAUGAUGUCCUUGCUCACCUCUGGCCCGGAACAAUGGAGUUGGCCAUCUAUGGAC